rnacentral:rRNA from 1 species
AGAAUCAACGCUGGCGGCGUGCCUAACACAUGCAAGUCGAACGAGAAAGUGGAGCAAUCCAUGAGUAAAGUGGCGCACGGGUGAGUAACACGUGACUAACCUACCUUUUAGUGGGGGGAUAACCUAGGGAAACCUGGGCUAAUACCGCAUAACACUUACGAGUCAAAGCAGCAAUGCGCUGAAAGAGGGGGUCGCGGUCGAUUAGUUAGUUGGCAGGGGUAAUGGCCUACCAAGACUGUGAUCGAUAUCCGGCCUGAGAGGGCGCACGGACACACUGGAACUGAAACACGGUCCAGACUCCUACGGGAGGCAGCAGUGGGGAAUUUUGCGCAAUGGGGGAAACCCUGACGCAGCAACGCCGCGUGGAGGAUGAAGUCCCUUGGGACGUAAACUCCUUUCGAUCGGGAAGAUUAUGACGGUACCGGAAGAAGAAGCCCGGCUAACUUCGCGCCAGCAGCCGC